CGUAUCACUUAAAGCGAUUCAGCGGGUUACGAUUGACGGAGCGAAGCGACGUCAAAGCGUAUACAAAGUCGAGUCGGUUUAAGGAUACGUUCGUUGGGUAGGGGAGCGUUCUGUAAGCCUGCGAAGGUGGCCUGUGAGGGUUGCUGGAGGUAUCAGAAGUGCGAAUGCUGACAUAAGUAACGAUAAAGCGGGUGAAAAGCCCGCUCGCCGGAAGACCAAGGGUUCCUGUCCAACGUUAAUCGGGGCAGGGUGAGUCGACCCCUAAGGCGAGGCCGAAAGGCGUAGUCGAUGGGAAACGGGUUAAUAUUCCCGUACUUGGUGUUACUGCGAAGGGGGGACGGAGAAGGCUAUGUUGGCCGGGCGACGGUUGUCCCGGUUUAAGCGUGUAGGUGUGUGUUCCAGGUAAAUCCGGUUCACUUUAACACUGAGGCGUGAUGACGAGGCACUACGGUGCUGAAGCAACAAAUGCCCUGCUUCCAGGAAAAGCCUCUAAGCAUCAGGUAACAUCAAAUCGUACCCCAAACCGACACAGGUGGUCAGGUAGAGAAUACCAAGGCGCUUGAGAGAACUCGGGUGAAGGAACUAGGCAAAAUGGUGCCGUAACUUCGGGAGAAGGCACGCUGACACGUAGGUGAAGUGAUUUACUCAUGGAGCUGAAGUCAGUCGAAGAUACCAGCUGGCUGCAACUGUUUAUUAAAAACACAGCACUGUGCAAACACGAAAGUGGACGUAUACGGUGUGACGCCUGCCCGGUGCCGGAAGGUUAAUUGAUGGGGUCAGCGCAAGCGAAGCUCCUGAUCGAAGCCCCGGUAAACGGCGGCCGUAACUAUAACGGUCCUAAGGUAGCGAAAUUCCUUGUCGGGUAAGUUCCGACCUGCACGAAUGGCGUAAUGAUGGCCAGGCUGUCUCCACCCGAGACUCAGUGAAAUUGAACUCGCUGUGAAGAUGCAGUGUACCCGCGGCAAGACGGAAAGACCCCGUGAACCUUUACUAUAGCUUGACACUGAACAUUGAGCCUUGAUGUGUAGGAUAGGUGGGAGGCUUUGAAGUGUGGACGCCAGUCUGCAUGGAGCCGACCUUGAAAUACCACCCUUUAAUGUUUGAUGUUCUAACGUGGACCCGUAAUCCGGGUUGCGGACAGUGUCUGGUGGGUAGUUUGACUGGGGCGGUCUCCUCCUAAAGAGUAACGGAGGAGCACGAAGGUUGGCUAAUCCUGGUCGGACAUCAGGAGGUUAGUGCAAUGGCAUAAGCCAGCUUGACUGCGAGCGUGACGGCGCGAGCAGGUGCGAAAGCAGGUCAUAGUGAUCCGGUGGUUCUGAAUGGAAGGGCCAUCGCUCAACGGAUAAAAGGUACUCCGGGGAUAACAGGCUGAUACCGCCCAAGAGUUCAUAUCGACGGCGGUGUUUGGCACCUCGAUGUCGGCUCAUCACAUCCUGGGGCUGAAGUAGGUCCCAAGGGUAUGGCUGUUCGCCAUUUAAAGUGGUACGCGAGCUGGGUUUAGAACGUCGUGAGACAGUUCGGUCCCUAUCUGCCGUGGGCGCUGGAGAACUGAGGGGGGCUGCUCCUAGUACGAGAGGACCGGAGUGGACGCAUCACUGGUGUUCGGGUUGUCAUGCCAAUGGCACUGCCCGGUAGCUAAAUGCGGAAGAGAUAAGUGCUGAAAGCAUCUAAGCACGAAACUUGCCCCGA
rnacentral:rRNA from 2 species